rnacentral:rRNA from 1 species
GAUGAACGCUAGCUACAGGCUUAACACAUGCAAGUCGAAGGGCAGCAUGGUCUUAGCUUGCUAAGGCCGAUGGCGACCGGCGCACGGGUGAGUAACACGUAUCCAACCUGCCGUCUACUCUUGGACAGCCCUCUGAAAGGAAGAUUAAUACAAGAUGGCAUCAUGAGUCCGCAUGUUCACAUGAUUAAAGGUAUUCCGGUAGACGAUGGGGAUGCGUUCCAUUAGAUAGUAGGCGGGGUAACGGCCCACCUAGUCUUCGAUGGAUAGGGGUUCUGAGAGGAAGGUCCCCCACAUUGGAACUGAGACACGGUCCAAACUCCUACGGGAGGCAGCAGUGAGGAAUAUUGGUCAAUGGGCGAGAGCCUGAACCAGCCAAGUAGCGUGAAGGAUGACUGCCCUAUGGGUUGUAAACUUCUUUUAUAAAGGAAUAAAGUCGGGUAUGGAUACCCGUUUGCAUGUACUUUAUGAAUAAGGAUCGGCUAACUCCGU